CCUACGGAAGGCAGCAGUGGGGAAUAUUGGACAAUGGGGGCAACCCUGAUCCAGCCAUGCCGCGUGUGUGAAGAAGGCCCUCGGGUUGUAAAGCACUUUCAGUGAGGAAGAACGCCUGGUGGUUAAUACCCAUCAGGAAAGACAUCACUCACAGAAGAAGCUCCGGCUAACUCCGUGCCAGCAGCCGCGGUAAUACGGAGGGUGCGAGCGUUAAUCGGAAUUACUGGGCGUAAAGCGCGCGUAGGUGGCUUGAUAAGCCGGUUGUGAAAGCCCCGGGCUCAACCUGGGAACGGCAUCCGGAACUGUCAAGCUAGAGUGCAGGAGAGGAAGGUAGAAUUCCCGGUGUAGCGGUGAAAUGCGUAGAGAUCGGGAGGAAUACCAGUGGCGAAGGCGGCCUUCUGGACUGACACUGACACUGAGGUGCGAAAGCGUGGGUAGCAAACAGGAUUAGAUACCCUGGUAGUC
rnacentral:rRNA from 1 species